rnacentral:rRNA from 1 species
UGCAACUCGACUGCAUGAAGCUGGAAUCGCUAGUAAUCGCGAAUCAGCAUGUCGCGGUGAAUACGUUCCCGGGUCUUGUACACACCGCCCGUCACACCAUGGGAGUCGGAAAUGCCCGAAGCCAGUGACCCAACCUUUAAGGAGGGAGCUGUGAAGGUAGGUCUGGUAACUGGGGUGAAGUCGUAACAAGGUACC